rnacentral:rRNA from 1 species
UCGGAAUUACUGGGCGUAAAAGCGCAUGCAGGCGGCCUGUUAAGUCAGAUGUGAAAAAGCCCGGGCUUAAACCUCGGAAAUUGCAUUUGAAAACUGGCAGGCUAGAGUCUUGUAGAGGGGGUAGAAUUUCAGGUGUAGCGGUGAAAAUGCGUAGAGAUCUGAAGGAAUACCAGUGGCGAAGGCGGCCCCCUGGACAAAGACUGACGCUCAGAUGCGAAAGCGUGGGGAGCAAACAGGAUUAGAUACCCUGGUAG